GGCACCAUUCGAUGUCUCGCCUGGUCCAAGCUCGAGAACUGAGCACGGUGUGUGAGAUGCAGCCCUAGCAGGAGGCAGAAGCAAGGUCCAAGGGGCUCAAAGUGUGAUAAAGAUAUCUACUUGAAUGUAUUCAGGGUGGAGAAUGUCCGGGAGCCUGUGGGCACAUCCAAAGAUCAGCAUUAAAGUGUCCCUACAGCUUCCCUCUGUGGGGUCACAAAUCACAUCAGAUGAUGAGGUGCUGGGCAUCGCCAGGCAGCUCCACGUGGCCAGGGGCAGACUGAAAGCUGAACUCAAGUUUAGAUUCACCCCACUCUUGGUUUUGGCCCCAGACAUUUAUCACAUUUUUGCUCGGUGGCUCAUGGAGCGCAACAUUGGUGUCUGAGGAAACCUGGUCUUUGCGUGGGGAAGCCUUAAAACAAAGAACACGCAACUGGGUCCAAGCUUCCAUUCCAUCCAGAACUCCCGCUUCAUCACCAAGUGCUAUGGCUGACCAACAUGUGAGGCUGGUGUGAAGACCAAUAAGCUUCCAUUACAUCCUUACAGAGAGGGGGGAGCAUCUCCCUUGACCAUCCCCACAGGACAAAGUCCUUUCCCUUCAAAGAGUAUUAGAAGGCUUAAGCUUGAGAGCCAGGCUCCCCUCUCUGGGAGUGGAUCGUUGCUGUUUGUCUCAAUACAUCCUCCCUGCCUUCGCUCUCUUUCAGACUUUAGAAAACACUUUAAGGAAGAGUCACUGGUCUUCUGGACGCUGUUCAGUGUGGCAUUGUGGGUGGCAUGUCAUGGUUUCCACAGAGCAAAGACUUUCCUUCCCUCUCUCUCUAGAUUAAUCUCAUCAUUUUA